UUGGUCUUAAAGCGUCCGUAGCCGGUCUGAUAAGUCUAUGGUGAAAUCCCACAGCUUAACUGUGGGAAUUGCUGGAGAUACUAUCAUGACUCGAGGUCGGGAGAGGCUGGAGGUACUCCCAGGGUAGGGGUGAAAUCCUGUAAUCCUGGGAGGACCACCUGUGGCGAAGGCGUCCAGCUGGAACGAACCUGACGGUGAGGGACGAAAGCCAGGGGCGCGAACCGGAUUAGAUACCCGGGUAGUCCUGGCCGUAAACGAUGUGGACUUGGUGUUGGGAUGGCUUCGAGAGGCCCCCAGUGCCGAAGGGAAGCUGUUAAGUCCGCCGCCUGGGAAGUACGGUCGCAAGACUGAAACUUAAAGGUAUUGGCGGGGGAGCACCACAACGCGUGGAGCCUGCGGUUUAAUUGGAUUCAACGCCGGACAUCUCACCAGGGGCGACAGCAGUAUGAUAGCCAGGUUGAUGACCUUGCUGACAAGCUGAGAGGAGGUGCAUGGCCGCCGUCAG
rnacentral:rRNA from 1 species